UACAGCCAUACCUUGUUGAAACAGUGGUUCUCAUAUGAUCACUAAAGUUAAGUAAUAUUGAGCCUGGUCAGUACCUAGAUGGGUGACCAUUUGGGAAUGAAUACCAGGUG